rnacentral:lncRNA from 1 species
GUGAAGAAAGGGUGGGAAUUUUCUAGGUAAGAGGAAACAAGAGAACAAGGGUUGUUCAAUUAAAGAUUUUUGAUAGAGGGAGGGAAGAAAAUUGAGGGAAGGAGCUGUGAGAGUAGGAGAGUUGUUUUGGGUGCUAGGCAAAAGGCAAGAAGUGAGAGUUGCUCGGUUAAAUAUCUUUGAUAGAAAGAGUGAAGAAAAUGAGAGAAGGAGUUGUGAGAGAAAGAAAGAUAGAGAGGAAGACAUAUGAAGACUAUGUUAAUUUGUUCAUGGAAAGAUUGAGGGAAGGGUUGAAAGAGGAAAAAAAGAAGGAAAGAAAAUAUAAGAUUGUUUGGUUGUUCAUGGAAAGCUUGAGGAAAAUGGGAGAAAGAGGAAAAAGAGAAGGAAAGAAAAUGUAAGAUUGCUUGGUUGUCCAUGGGAAAAUUAUUAAAUUUAAGAUGAAUGCAUAUUUCCUACCUCUAUUCAAUGAAAAUUAAGAGGAAAAUCUUUAGACAUUUUUUCUACCUUUUUCCUUAACAUUUUUUUCUUACAUUUUCCCAUAAUAUAUAAAAUUUCCCUUUGAAACUUUAUUUAUGUUUUGUUCUUUGGAUUGUAUAUUUGAUUUUUUGUUUUUUAGGUAGAAGAAUGAUGAAUAAAAUAUAUUUUAUUGGAGAAAAUCAACUAAUAAUGCUCUUUACAAUUUAGUUCUUGGUAAAUAACUCAAAACCCCAUUUAGAAAUUUAUUUUUCUAUUGCUCUAGAAUCACCUAAACUAAAAUAANNNNNNNNNNNNNNNNNNNNNNNNNNNNNNNNNNNNNNNNNNNNNNNNNNNNNNNNNNNNNNNNNNNNNNNNNNNNNNNNNNNNNNNNNNNNNNNNNNNNGUUUCAAAGGAAAUUGAUUGGCCAAAAGACAAGAAGUCAUAAUGUUGAAGGAGGUAGUGAUGCCGAAAAUCAUGAAGAUUACAUCAAAGUCAUUUGGAGGAUGAUCUUAUUUUUUAUAGAAUAUAGAUCUUAAUAGUUGUUGCACUAAUAUUUGUUCUUUUGUAGAAUUAGAAAUUGUUAUUGAAAUAUUUUGAUAUAAUUAAUAAAUUUGUAUGUAAGUAUGAAGUUACAUUAAUAGUUUGAUGUGUCAUUGAUAAAAUCUAUUAAAGAUGACACUUCUAUAAAUGUCAAGAUUGCUUAUUUCAUAAAAAUGAUAUCACUAGAAAAUGUUUAAAUAUGACGCUUCUUAUGAGUGUCGUUGUUAACAUUAUCCAAAUAUGAUGCUUCUUUAAACGUCAUUGAAAGUAUUUAUCAAAGAUGGCACUUCCUGAAAGUGUCAUUGUUGCCUAAGACAUACAAUGACAGAGGCGAAGAGGACGCUUUAGAGAAGCGUCAUCUGUUACCUUUCUUGACGCUUAAAAAACGUCAUUGUUUCCCAUUUUUCUUAUAGUGGAAGAAAGUUGCUACCCAUUAAUGAGAUAAUCGCAUUAUUACACAUAAUUUAACCCAUUAAUAUAUCACUCCAUUUGGCAAUUGAUUUCUUAUCUCAAUCAAUACAUUAAUAGUAAACAAGUUCUUAUUUAAAUCUCACAAAAAGUUGCAAAAAAUCUUAAACAGAUAUUUUGAUUAUAAUGGGUAAAUAUAUAUACCAACAAUGUGAUUAUGAUUUACAUGUGUUUAAGAGUAGAAAGAAUGUAAUUGGUGUGGGAAGCUCACCUCUGUCUCCCAAGCGUUGUCCAAUGCAAGGCAUAAGUGUGUAAGAGUCGUGUAUUCUUGUCUAUCUGGUUUGGCCUUAGGGUACCAGACGAACACAAAAACAACCGGGCAUUGCAUACGUUGCCUAAUAAGCAUUAACUAUGAUAGACAUUAAGUGCCUUGAUUGAUACAACCGUUACGAGGCUAAAGUGCUAGUUUUUAUGGCUCAUUAAGGUGCGAUAGCCGUUAUGAGCCAACAAUCAUUAACAUUAAAGACAAUAACACGCAAUCAAAGACACCAUUAAGACACUUGAAAAUACGUUACAUUUGGGAAAAAAAUAAAUAGCCACUUUUGACCACAAGAAAGGUAUACUACCAUUUUUUUCAAAAAAAAACCUAUCUUGCUUAAGUGUUCACUCUUUGACUUAAGCUUCGAAGCAACGUGCUCGAAAAACCCAUAUUGGCAUUCCUUUGUGCAGGUUGAAACAUCGUCUAAGUCUUGGAGGCUAGUCGAACUCAAUGUUGUUGGUUGUGCACCAAUAUUGGUGUCGUUUGUGGGAAAAGAAUACAAAAGCCUAAAAAAACACGAUGGCUAAUACACCUCUUGCAACUCAAUCAACCAAUGUUUAUAAGCGAUUCCAAGUUUGGCAAGAUAGAAUGGAAAGAAAGCAAGAAAAGUAUGAAUGGUGAAUGCAAUCCUUGUUUCGUCAAGCAGAACAACUAAAGCAAGAAAACCAAGAGCUAUAGGCUCAAUUGCCCAUGGGACAUCGUUUGAAAAGUCGUCGCACCCCUAGACAAUAGACAACUUUGAGAUGAGAUUAAAGUUAAACAGAGAGAGCUUCUCAAUAGUUCGUUAAGACAUCUCUACAAGUGGAUGAGGAAUUGUUUUCCAGCAGUUCCCCAACAUUACCUAAACUUGUGCAUUCCCCAACCAAUCGAACUCAAGCAGAAGAGGUUGUAAGCUCUAUUAGAGAAAAACGCAAAAUGGGUUAAAAAUGGGGCUUACAUCUCUCAAAGGCCUUAAAAGCACAUCUUAGAACUUAGAAGAAAAGAGUGUCAGCACCACCACUCAUGUCGAAGGCCCUAAAGGCACAUUUGGGCCAACCGAACAAUGAGACAUCACCAAGCUACCUACCUUAGCGCUCAACUCUAGAAUUGCCACCAGUAAAUGACCCGACAACGAAGACCCCACUUGGCUCCAUAAGUACACGGUUGGAUAACACACUUUCCACAUCGUUUGGCCCUCACAUCAUUGACUACUAACCAUCCAAAGGGUUCUUGGUGCCCAAGUUUACCAUGUAUGAUGGGACAAACGACCCUUUUGACAAUCUGAUGCAUUAUCGACAGUUGAUGAUGUUGGACAUUAACAACAAUGUGUUGCUAUGAAAGGUCUUUCCAGCCAGCCUUCAUGGUUUGACUCCCAUAGAAUUCUAUUAAUUCCUUCCAAGACAUCUUAGAGGCCUUUAUAGGCCAUUAUUUAUGUUCUACUUAGCAAAAGCAUAAUAUAAGCACCCUAAAGAACAUCAAGAUGCAGAAGAAUGAAUCACUAAAGGACCUCAUGAAGCGGUUCGGGCAAGUAGUGGUCCAAGUGGAGUCUUAUAGCAUGAAUGUCAUUUUACAAAUCUUUAAACAGAGCAUCAAUCCAAGCACCCCAUUUUUCGAGUCCUUCACUAAAAAGUCGCCUACGUCAAUGAACGAUAUGUUCAAAUGAGUGAACAAAUAUGUCAUGCUUAAGGAUGAUGUCUAGGCAAAAUCUUAGAAAAUCCUGGUCAUGAACUAGGUAGCCAAAAACAAUAAGGCUAGGAGUUCAAAGACUUCAAAUGGCCAAGUGAGACAAGACCACCAGAGGCAAGAAAGGUAGUCGCGACGAUAGCCACUCAGGCUCACCCCCAUUGACUGUCCCGUAUGAAAGAAUCCUCCAUUUGAUUUGAGAGCUGCAUGAGUUCAAGUGGCCAGAGCCUAUCAAAACUGAUCCAUCUAGAUGUGAUUGGAGAUGGCAAUGCUUUUUUCAUAAAGAGCAUGGGCACACCAAAGAAAAAUGCAAAAAUUUGCAUUACUUAGUGGAUAAACUCAUAAAAGUCUAACAUCUCAAGCAAUAUGUCUGCACCAUUGGAAACACUACAACGAGUUCCUAUUUCCCUCAUGGCACACCGAAUAGUGAUCAAUUACAUUCAUGGGGAACUCAUGGACGACAAAUAUCAUUCCAAAUGGCAAAGGAGGAGAAUGGUUCGCUCGGCCAUAGUAAGGGAAAGAGUGAGUGCAAUUCAGUGAAUGUUCACUAUUGAAAGUGCUCGGACAAUUGAUGGCCUAAUCACUUUCCCUUCAGUUGACUUUAAGCAGGUGAUUUUGUCACACGAAAACGUCUUAGUGUUAACACUAGGAAUCGAUGAAUUUGACGUGCGAAGAAUCCUAGUCAACCUGGGAAGUUCUAUUAACUUAUUGCAAAUGUUAGCUUACAAGCAAAUGGAUACUCAUCAUCUUCCUUAGAAAAUAUUGGCCAAUUUUUGUUUGAAUUCAAUGGGGCCACCACAAUCUCCCUAGGCGACAUUGUACUUCCCUUCCAAGCCAUCCCAACCAUUCUCAAUGUAUAAUUCUCUAUAGUAGAGGAUCUGUCACCCUACAUCGCCAUCAUGGGGCGGUCAUGGCUACACAAAAUGAAGGUCAUUCUAUCUACCUAUCAUAAGAUGGUAAACUACCUGACAGAAAUUGGGCAAGUGGAUUUGCAUGGAAACUAACUAACUACUCAACAAUGUUAUCAAGUGGUAAUAAAAUCCGGGCAUACUGGCCCAGCUGAAGACGAACCCAAGUCAUCAAUAAAAGAGGGGCAAUAACAAUUAUAAGACUAGGUCAAGGAUAGGGAUCCGUUGGCAAUUGACCCAUUGCAAUAGUUGUCUUUAUAAAAAAAAGAUGACCAGAUGACUUACGUUAGUUCUCUACUAAUUGAGGAUGAAUGUGAUCAUCUUGGCAACACGCUUCGCAAAAAUAAGGACAUCUUUGCGUGGAACAUGCCUGACAUAGACCUGGUAGUAGUCUUUCAUGAGUUGAACAUCCUUUCUGUUGCAUGACCUGUACAACAGAAAGUCCAUCAUUUCCAUCCAGAUCGUCAAAAAAUUAUCUAAACAAAAAUUGAAAAACUACUAAAAGUAGGAUUUAUCAGGGAGAUGACCUAAUGUGGUGGUAGUACCCAAGAAAAGAGGAAACUUGUGGGUUUGCAUAGACUAUACGAAACCGAAUGAAGCUUGCCCCAAAGAUAGCUUCCCAUUUCUCUGCAUGGAUUAGAUGGUAGAUGUCACUGCCAGACAUAGAAUGUUUUCUUUUCUUGGUACCACUUGAUACUAAUGUUUCCACCUAAUGAGUAGAAAAUGACUUUCAUUACACCUUAGGGGUUUUACUGUUAUAAAGUCAUGUCGUUUGGGUUGAAAAACGUAGGAGCUACUUACCAAUAGCUAAUAACCUGCAUCUUUAAGCCUUUAAUAGGUCGAAUGGGGAAAGUAUAUAUCAAUUGCAUAGUCAUCAAACACUAAACUCGUUUUGAACACCUCCUCCAUUUGGAAGAAGCAUUCGACUUCAUGCACAAGUACAACAUGAAGAUUAAUCCGCUAAAGUGCGCAUUCGAAGUAAGUGUGAGAAAGUUUCUCGGAUUCAUGGUGACAAAAAAAGGGAUUGAAGUAAAUCCGGUUGAAGUUAAAGUGGUGUUAGAAACUCCUACUAAUGUUCUCCAAUGAGUCAAUGCAUGGGGAUAAUUCAUCCCACGAUCCUCUUGUACUCCCAAAAUUGCUCCUCAUGAUGUACAGGAUGAAAAACACAUCAUCUCCUCAUUCAAUUUCCUCCUGAAUCUCCUAGAAUACUCCAGAAAAAUGCUCUAUAAUGAGUGACCAUUAUCUUCCUGCAACGUGAUAGUCUCCCCUUGAUGCCUUGCUAGUGACCUGUGUUCUCUACGAAAUUUUGAGCUUCUAAAAUUCUCCUCCAAUGUAUGAUAAUCUGUCUACCCCAAGAAGAGUCCAUAACCCCCUACUAGAGCCUUCUAGAGAGCCUCUAAAAAUGCGUGAUCUCUAGCGUCACCUCCCCACAUGACAACCCUCACUAACUUCAAAUGCAUGCAUGCCCCUCACAUAAGAAUUAUCUAGGAUGUGUGGUGAUCACAAUGUUUUAUGUGGGCAUGUAAUGGUGCUUUUUGGUACAUCUAGUGAAGGUUCUCCCAUGUUGCUGAUAGUGCCCCUCAAAAUGGAUCCAUGUAUGGUGAUGGGAAUUCUAUAGAAGACACGUGAUGCUUCUAUCAUGGUAAGAUGAUCAUCCACUGAUGAUAUUCUCCUCGUGAGGUUCCCAAUAGUGGUGUACAUGGAUCAUUGUGUCUUAAAAAAAAAUGGAAUCAACCUUGCACAAUUUCCCCAAAAAGAUAAAUAAGUUAGUAGACUAAAUAAAUAAAUAUAUAAGUAUCAAUUCAUGCAAUUAGGAAAAACUAAAAUCUCAACUCUCAUGCAAUUUUCUAAAAAAAUGAAUAAGUAAAUGAAUAAAACUAAUAAAAUAAUAAUAAUAAUAAUAAUAAUAAUAAUAAAAUAAACUAAACUAAAAAAAUCAAACACAUGCUAGUCAUACGAGCCAUGCUAUCAUACUUGAAAGGUGACCUAAGCAAGACUAAACAAACCUAAGUGAGCCAAGGUGUGACAAAAUGGGCCUAAGUAAGUCUAGAUCGGCCUAAGUGAGCCUAAGUGGGCCUAAGGUGUCUAAAAUGGGCCCAAGUGAGCCUAGGUGGGCCUAAGUGAGCCUAAGUGGACCAAGUGCACCUAAAAGCUAUCCUAAAAAUGAAGAAAAAACCUUAAGUCUAAAUUAAGGUUGCCAAGAGCACAAUGAGGGGUCAGAUAAAUCCCUCAACUAAAGUCUUUAAUGUGGCUAAAAAAAUGUAAGUAGUAUGAGUAGCAAUGGGUCACCAAGGAACUACUAUGGAAAACUAGAAGUGAACUUAAAGACAUGUGCUAAAGGGACAAAAUGGAGGGUCUACAAAUAUGCCCUCGGUAGAGAUCAUGAGUGUAGAGAAUGUGAGUUGAAAUACAAAAAAUGAGUGGAACGAAGUGAACUGUACCAAAGAACUAAA